rfam:Hordeum vulgare subsp. vulgare, WGS project CAJW01000000 data, contig: morex_contig_1587177
CUAGUACUCCCUCUGUCCAGAAUUACUUAUCGCAUAAAUGAAUAAAAAUAGAUGUAUCUAAAACUAAAAUACAUCUAGAUACAUUCGUUUCUAUGACAAGUAUUUUCGAACGGAGGGAGUACGUA